UCUUUCAGCGGGGACGAUAAUGACGGUACCCGCAGAAGAAGCCCCGGCUAACUUCGUGCCAGCAGCCGCGGUAAUACGAAGGGGGCUAGCGUUGUUCGGAAUUACUGGGCGUAAAGCGCGCGUAGGCGGAUUAGAAAGUUGGGGGUGAAAUCCCGGGGCUCAACCCCGGAACUGCCUCCAAAACUGCUAGUCUAGAGUUCGAGAGAGGUGAGUGGAAUUCCGAGUGUAGAGGUGAAAUUCGUAGAUAUUCGGAGGAACACCAGUGGCGAAGGCGGCUCACUGGCUCGAUACUGACGCUGAGGUGCGAAAG
rnacentral:rRNA from 1 species